UACGUAGGGCGCAAGCGUUGUCCGGGAAUUAUUGGGCGUAAAGAGCUCGUAGGCGGCUUGUCACGUCGGGUGUGAAAGCCCGGGGCUUAACCCCGGGUCUGCAUUCGAUACGGGCUAGCUAGAGUGUGGUAGGGGAGAUCGAAUUCCUGGUGUAGCGGUGAAAUGCGCAGAUAUCAGGAGGAACACCGGUGGCGAAGGCGGAUCUCUGGGCCAUUACUGACGCUGAGGAGCGAAAGCGUGGGGAGCGAACAGG
rnacentral:rRNA from 1 species